rnacentral:rRNA from 1 species
GACGAACGCUGGCGGCGUGCUUAACACAUGCAAGUCAUGGGGACCCGCAAGGGUAACCGGCGAACGGGUGCGUAACACGUGAGCAAUCUGCCGAUUUCUGGGGGAUAGCCGGCCCAACGGCCGGGUAAUACCGCAUACGUUCUCGAGGGGGAGUCCCCUUGGGAAGAAACCUCCGGGGGAAAUCGAGGAGCUCGCGGCCUAUCAGCUAGUUGGCGGUGUAAUGGACCACCAAGGCUAUGACGGGUAGCUGGCUGAGAGGAUGGCCAGCCACAUUGGGACUGAGAGACGGCCCAGACUCCUACGGGAGGCAGCAGUGGGGAAUCUUGCGCAAUGGCCGAAAGGCUGACGCAGCGACGCCGCGUGUGGGAUGAAGCUCUUCGGGGU